rnacentral:tRNA from 1 species
AAUUAGUUAACUAAAAGUAAAUAUUUUGAAAAUAUUAAAAAGGAUUAAUCCUACUAAUUU